AGACUAAGUGCCUUUUCAUCCAAAUGGAAUUCUGUGAUAAAGGGACCUUGGAACAAUGGAUUGAAAAAAGAAGAGGCGAGAAACUAGACAAAGUUUUGGCUUUGGAACUCUUUGAACAAAUAACAAAAGGGGUGGAUUAUAUACAUUCAAAAAAAUUAAUUCAUAGAGAUCUUAACCAAGUAAUAUAUUCUUAGUAGAUACAAAACAAGUAAAGAUUGGAGACUUUGGACUUGUAACAUCUCUGAAAAAUGAUGGAAAGCGAACAAGGAGUAAGGGAACUUUGCGAUACAUGAGCCCAGAACAAUUUCUUCGCAAGACUAUGGAAAGGAAGUGGACCUCUACGCUUUGGGGCUAAUUCUUGCUGAACUUCUUCAUGUAUGUGACACUGCUUUUGAAACAUCAAAUUUUUCACAGACCUACGGGAUGGCAUCAUCUCAGAUAUAUUUGAUAAAAAAGAA
rnacentral:lncRNA from 1 species